GAUGAACGCUGGCGGCGCGCCUAACACAUGCAAGUCGAACGGCACCUAUCUUCGGAUAGAAGCGAGUGGCGAACGGCUGAGUAACACGUGGAGAACCUGCCCCCUCCCCCGGGAUAGCCGCCCGAAAGGACGGGUAAUACCGGAUACCCCCGGGCGCCGCAUGGCGCCCGGGCUAAAGCCCCGACGGGAGGGGAUGGCUCCGCGGCCCAUCAGGUAGACGGCGGGGUGACGGCCCACCGUGCCGACAACGGGUAGCCGGGUUGAGAGACCGACCGGCCAGAUUGGGACUGAGACACGGCCCAGACUCCUACGGGAGGCAGCAGUGGGGAAUCUUGCGCAAUGGGGGGAACCCUGACGCAGCGACGCCGCGUGCGGGACGGAGGCCUUCGGGUCGUAAACCGCUUUCAGCAGGGAAGAGUCAAGACUGUACCUGCAGAAGAAGCCCCGGCUAACUACGUGCCAGCAGCCGCGGUAAUACGUAGGGGGCGAGCGUUAUCCGGAUUCAUUGGGCGUAAAGCGCGCGUAGGCGGCCCGGCAGGCCGGGGGUCGAAGCGGGGGGCUCAACCCCCCGAAGCCCCCGGAACCUCCGCGGCUUGGGUCCGGUAGGGGAGGGUGGAACACCCGGUGUAGCGGUGGAAUGCGCAGAUAUCGGGUGGAACACCGGUGGCGAAGGCGGCCCUCUGGGCCGAGACCGACGCUGAGGCGCGAAAGCUGGGGGAGCGAACAGGAUUAGAUACCCUGGUAGUCCCAGCCGUAAACGAUGGACAGCGGGGUGUGGGGGGACGAUCCCCCCGUGCCCCAGCCAACGCAUUAAGCGUCCCGCCUGGGGAGUACGGCCGCAAGGGUAAAACUCAAAGGAAUUGACGGGGGCCCGCACAAGCAGCGGAGCAUGUGGCUUAAUUCGAAGCAACGCGAAGAACCUUACCAGGGCUUGACAUAUGGGUGAAGCGGGGGAGACCCCGUGGCCGAGAGGAGCCCAUACAGGUGGUGCAUGGCUGUCGUCAGCUCGUGUCGUGAGAUGUUGGGUUAAGUCCCGCAACGAGCGCAACCCCCGCCGCGUGUUGCCAUCGGGUGAUGCCGGGAACCCACGCGGGACCGCCGCCGUCAAGGCGGAGGAGGGCGGGGACGACGUCAAGUCAUCAUGCCCCUUAUGCCCUGGGCUGCACACGUGCUACAAUGGCCGGUACAGAGGGAUGCCACCCCGCGAGGGGGAGCGGAUCCCGGAAAGCCGGCCCCAGUUCGGAUUGGGGGCUGCAACCCGCCCCCAUGAAGUCGGAGUUGCUAGUAAUCGCGGAUCAGCAUGCCGCGGUGAAUGCGUUCCCGGGCCUUGCAC
rnacentral:rRNA from 1 species